rnacentral:lncRNA from 13 species
GGGCAUUUUUGUAUUUUCAUCAAAUAAACAGUGCUCAAUCCUCUUGGACCUCCCUGAGAAUGAGAGCUACUUUUCAGCAAACUGGCAGUUCUCAAAGGCUGGAUGAAAGGGCCUUCUGUCAUCAGUAGAAAUGGCACAUUAUCUCUGUGUCCAGCAUUAGCACAGAGCAGAGUCUGCUCCUUAAUGCAUCCCUGGAUCACGGUAGACUUUGCCUACAGAGGCCUGGGGGCCCCGUGGCAGCGCUCCUGUCAAGAAAGCAGAGUCGUGGACAACCAACUGCGCAGGCUGGGAGGUAAGAACCUUUUUUUUUCUUUUUAAUUGA